UACGUAGGUGGCAAGCGUUGUCCGGAUUUACUGGGCGUAAAGAGCGCGCAGGCGGUCGUGCAAGUCGCGUGUGAAAGCCCCCGGCUCAACUGGGGAGGGUCACGCGAUACUGUUCGACUCGAAGGCAGGAGAGGGAAGCGGAAUUCCCGGUGUAGUGGUGAAAUGCGUAGAUAUCGGGAGGAACACCAGUGGCGAAGGCGGCUUCCUGGCCUGUUCUUGACGCUGAGGCGCGAAAGCUAGGGUAGCAAACGGGG
rnacentral:rRNA from 1 species